GAUGAACGCUGGCGGCGUGCUUAACACAUGCAAGUCGAACGGGAAACCUAUUAUUGAAACUUCGGUCGAUUUAAUUUGUUUCUAGUGGCGGACGGGUGAGUAACGCGUGGGUAACCUGCCCUAUACAGGGGGAUAACAACCAGAAAUGGUUGCUAAUACCGCAUAAGCGCACAGGACCGCAUGGUCCAGUGUGAAAAACUCCGGUGGUAUAGGAUGGACCCGCGUUGGAUUAGCUUGUUGGUGGGGUAACGGCCCACCAAGGCGACGAUCCAUAGCCGGCCUGAGAGGGUGAACGGCCACAUUGGGACUGAGACACGGCCCAGACUCCUACGGGAGGCAGCAGUGGGGAAUAUUGCACAAUGGGGGAAACCCUGAUGCAGCGACGCCGCGUGAAGGAAGAAGUAUCUCGGUAUGUAAACUUCUAUCAGCAGGGAAGAUAGUGACGGU
rnacentral:rRNA from 1 species